rnacentral:rRNA from 1 species
AACGAACGCUGGCGGCAGGCCUAACACAUGCAAGUCGAACGCCCCGCAAGUGGAGUGGCAGACGGGUGAGUAACACGUGGGAACCUUCCCUAUAGUACGGAAUAGCCCAGGGAAACUUGGAGUAAUACCGUAUACGCCCGAAAGUGGAAAGAAUUUCGCCAUAGGAUGGGCCCGCGUAGGAUUAGCUAGUUGGUGAGGUAAUGUCUCACCAAGGCGACGAUCCUUAGCUGGUUUGAGAGAACGACCAGCCACACUGAGACUGAGACACGGCCCAGACUCCUACGCGAGGCAGCAGUGGGGAAUAUUGGACAAUGGGCGCAAGCCUGAUCCAGCCAGGCCGCGUGAGUGAUGAAGGCCUUAGGGUUGUAAAGCUCUUUUGGCGGGGACGAUAAUGACGGUACCCGCAGAAUAAGUCCCGGCUAACUUCGUG